rnacentral:lncRNA from 1 species
AGCUCCUAAACUGGAGUGGUCAAUCCCAUCUUGACACACGCACCGAUAAGUCAAGUACUUGACUACACCCAGCAGCCUUCCAUCACUGAAUUAAAAAUUCAGGUAGUCCAGUGCCUAAGUGCAGUGAGUUGCUUGCAAGUCACCAUGGUGGUCUCAGGUCGGAGGGAUAUUUAUACCCAUAUUCCAUCGGAGCAAAUCUUGACAGCAGAAAUAGCUCCAAAGUCAGUCACGUUCAGUGCAGAUGUACCCUUACAUCUCACCUGUAUGCCAUACCAGUGUCUCCACAC